GCUAGAAGAUGAAGUCCAGAACAUUGUGGGUUGAUAGGUCAAAUAUUGACAGCAACCUGAUACCUUGAAGGGAACACUUACUGUUGCAGGCUUGGGGAAAAGGUUGCUCAGCGAGACUUUCAGCUUUUCCACAUUGAAGCAGUUGCACUUUACAAGUGUGUAAAACAGAGGAAGUUGUGGGGAACUUGGCAAGCAUAAAGUACGGAAUCUAAUACUCACAAUCUUCCAGUUUAGGAGUUCUGAAGACUAUUUAGUUAGAAUACUCAAGUUCUAUCUUAUAGCCCCAAGAUGGUAUCUCAAAGUUGAUUGACAGGGUAAAGUCUGCAAAAAAGGUACAUGUUAGUGAAAGGAAUAUGCAAAAAAUGCAUCAUGUUAGGAGAAAAUGCUUUGCAAAAAUAUGUACAUUAGGCCACUUUCCAUACAAAAAUGUGCAUAUUAGGAGAAAUUUGCAAUAAAAUGCUGAUGAGCUUU